GUUGCCCUUAGAGGCAUUGCAGAAAUGGCUUCUCUGUCACAUGUGCGACAACAUGUGACAGAGAGGAGAGAUGCUAUGUCUAAGUUUAAUGCGUUGACCUGUGAACAUCUGAAAGAUUAGAAGUCUAACAUU